rnacentral:lncRNA from 1 species
UCCAAGUUCAAAAUGCUUUACCCUUAAAGAAUUCCAAGCUCAAAACACUGUACCCCUGAAGAAUUCCAAACUCAAAACACUGUACCCCUGAAGAAUUCCAAACUCAAAAUCCUUUACCCCUGAAGAAUUCCAAGCUCAAAACACUGUACCCCUGAAGAAUUCCAAACUCAAAAUCCUUUACCCCUGAAGAAUUCCAAGCUCAAAACACUGUACCCCUGAAGAAUUCCAAGCUAAAAACACUGUACCCCUGAAGAAUUCCAAGCUCAAAAUCCUUUACCCCUGAAGAAUUCCAAGCUCAAAACACCCUACCCCUGAAGAAUUCCAAACUCAAAACACUGUACCCCUGAAGAAUUCCAAACUCAAAACACUGUACCCCUGAAGAAUUCCAAGCUAAAAACACUGUACCCCUGAAGAAUUCCAAACUCAAAAUCCUUUACCCCCAAAGAAUUCCAAGCUCAAAACAAUCUACCCUUGAAGAAUUCCAAGCUCAAAACACCCUACCCCUGAAGAAUUCCAGGUAUCCUCGACAGGGGGGGUACGGAUAUUAAAUGGAAUAGCCCAUUGCCCCUCGUAUUUGUCCAUAAGAGACCCCUUGUUAUUGUAUCAUGUUUUGAGAAUGAGUUCAAUUUUGAUAUUUGUUGUUGAUCUGAGCAAAAUAUUGAUUAUUGAUUUGCCUACUGAGGCACACAGUAUUGAACAGUCAAUUGUGGUGAGUGAUGCUGAACUGCCUGUUGUAUGUUGUGAGUGAUUUUGAGCACCUGUUGUGAUGAGUGACACUGAAUUGCCCCAAUUGUGGCUCAGGAAAAAUGUACCUGCUGACUUGUCAAAUAAUCUCCUUAAAUAAUGUUCUGGGAAGUAAUUUGUGUAAUUGAUUACAAACAAAAACAAGGG